rnacentral:lncRNA from 1 species
ACCACUAUACCACUAGUGCGGAUGCAUCGCCAUGGGCUCGAACGGAGCGCAGACCGCACAGAAUACACCCUCACGAGGCCGCACAGGACCCAGCUACACAGGGCAAGCGCGGGGGAGCGCGGGGGAGGCGCGCGUGGGCUCGGGGCGGGUGGGGGACACGCAGGGACGCAGCAAACAGGUGGACACGCACGCGGCCAGCUUGCGGUCCUGCGGAUAGCGCUGACAGAGUCAUAGCCGCACGCUACGCUGUGCCACUUACUCAGUUGCACGCUGCUGGCUCCAGAUAUAGUCCUUUGAAGGGCUGAGGGCGUGGUCAACGUCCCCAGGGACACGGACGCGUCAAGCAUGGCAUCACGCACGCGCCGGACUCUCACGCA